CACACUGACGAGAUAUAGUGUUUAUGGCAGGCCAAAGUCAGAUGUGUGCAAUUAGCUUCGUUUCGUUAUUUUUCUUUUUUCCAAGAGGUAAACAGGCGUCGGUCCCCUGGCGGAAAACCCCGCCAGGGGACCGACGCACGUUGGAGUCGGUGGGCGGCAAGCCAAGCCAAGUCAAGGCCGUCGGCGCGGCGUUCGUUUUUUUUCUCGUUUUGGUUCGUUUGGUAUGGUGAGGCCGCGUCCGUUACAGUGAGAUAGAGCUUGUUUUUCAGCAAAGAUGACAGGCGCUACGUGCCUGGUUGUGGUGCUUCAUGCGGACAUUAGACAAAAGUGCCUGCUUGAAGAGGACACUCCAACUGCUUUGAGGAGUGCUAUCUCGGCUUCGAGAAUGUUGGCGUCAUACGUGAACGCCACUGACAGGAAUCAGGUUCGGGAUAGCGGCUUCAGUGAGUGUUGAAUUCGCGGAGGGCGAUGAGAUAAUGCAUACGGCGACAGUAGCCGUCUUGCAACCUCACCGCCAGGAACGCUCGAAGGAUUCAACCUCCUUGCUGUCCACGCCCUGCGAAUACUGGGUUCGUGUGUGAAGGGUUCCGAAGCAAUAAAGAACAUGUUUGUGCAUUAUGAUACACCUGUGCCGGUGACACAGUGCAUCAUGUUCACUGGGAGCAGCAUUCAAGAAGCGGACCAUAUGGACCUCUAUGUCGGCGGGUAGCGCCUUCUCAGAACCAUCGACCUUGACGAGGGCUUGGCUGCUAUUCUUGCAGCUAUUGGUUAUUUCAUAUUGUCUACAGUUCAAAGCCGCACCGUACAUCUUGAAGCCUGGAAGAGCGGUGCCUGAAAGUGAGUGACUCUCGUGCAAGAAGCCCCGUGGAUCAAUUUUUUCAACUUGUGAAUGCUUCGAACAUCUAAAACAUUUGCUACUUUAACUGACUUGUAGUGAGCCCUCCAUCCCCCCCCCCCCCCCGCCCACCUCCCAAACAGGCAGCCAUUUCGUCAAGGAAUUUGCAAUUCUUCGGAAGCACGGGUGUGUUCUUUCUUGUUCUUUGGCACUGAAAUCUCAUAAGCAUGGGGGAUUACCUUUCUUCUGGCAAUGUAGCCGUCCAUUUGUCAACAUACCUGGCACAGCGCAUUACAUUUAGGGAAAUUGUUUUGGGUAUUCUGUGCUUCCAUUUCUAGUCUUUAGUAUGUGCUCUUGUUAAGAGAUAGUCUUCUAUCCGUUUUCCUUUUUGCUUGCCAGAAAAGCUGUUUUCUUUUGUAAAAGCUGUUUGCUGGCUGUUUUCAUUACCCUUUCGCAUCAACGUGCUAUAUUUGUACUAACUUCUUAUUUGGUGUACUGGAUCUGUAGUGGUGCCUUAUGUGGAUUUAAACAUUUAAUAUGCCUUUUCAUCUUAUUUUGUGUCUCAUUGCUGCUGUUUCAAUUAGUUAUGUCAUCAAGGACUCAGUUCUGCUUUGCCUUCCUUCCACAUACUGUGCAUAUUGUUCCACUCAGGGCAACGUUAUAAGGAAUUUAGUUUCACAUGUGUACGUGCACUUGCACUUCGCCAAUAAACAUAACUUUGUCGUCA